rnacentral:sRNA from 1 species
CUGCCCUGCGGAGUGCCAGGUCCGCCGCAUCUCCUGGGUCCGUAGGGUUGGCCGGCGCGCAAAUGGCUUAGGAGUGGCCUCCUCGAAACGGCCAUCUGCCGCCGGCCACCUU